rfam:Ovis aries breed Texel chromosome 3, whole genome shotgun sequence.
UCCCUCGUGGUCCAGUGCUUAAGACUCUGAGCUUCUAAUGCAGAGGCACAGGUUCGAUCCCUGGUUGGGGAA